AAUUUAACUUAUUUAUUCCUUUGUUAGCAUUAAAAUGUUUAGAAAAUUGUCGUUCCCACGAAACUUUCCAAGAACUGUUAAAAACGUUAUAAAUCGCCAAAUUGGGUGGUCGAAAGGCCAUGUGUUUUAACAAGUGGAUAUGCAAAGAUAUGGGGGUUGGCGACGGCCUGGCUCUGCACCACAGUCGCCCAGCUAAUCCAAUGAGUUUCUCACAAAAGCAUAAUUAAUUUAAUUUUGUUUAAAAUAACCAAAAUUUAUUGAUAAACCUAAAAUUAAAUCCAAUAUUUUGUUUAGAAAUUAACUAGUCACGUUUCAGAAAGAAAGGAACUUAUGAGCCAAUUUAAGACACGUUGAUGAUCAGUAAACAACUCGAGAAAGAAUCAAAAUUUCAUCCUAUUCAAAAUUCCCGUAACGUUUCGUACCAAAAAGUUGAGUCUUUAUGCAGUGUACUUCAGUCAUCGAAUAAAAUUGAAUAAUUCAUUUUAUUCGGCGAAAUUGUUAACAAAUUGUUGCAAAACUUCAAGAACGAAUUGGUCGAUUGAAAUUCAUGUCUGUUAACUAGAUUAGCAUAGCCAAAACGACGCUGGUCAAGUGCCGCUUGAAUAGGGGGUGUUGACAAAUUCGUUACAGAACAGAGCUUUUAAAAGAAUAUCAAAUUACAAGCACACAUGUGCAUUCCUUAUAAGAAAUUUCAGCGUAAUUAACGAUUUCUUAGUUAAAUCAAAAUCAGAUCACGAAACCGGUAGUUUAGAAAAACACGCGUAAUUUUUCUGAACAUUUUGAUGUAAAAUUUAACCCUAAUAUUUAAGGCGCAGCCGUCGAAAUUCGGAUGUAUAAAUCAUUCUAUUUAAUGAAAUUAUUGUAAGCAAAAAAAUUGCAUGACACGAUUGCUGCCCGUUACUAACAUAAUCCUAAGAGGAAAGUAGACAGGAAAAUCCCUAAGGAAAUUGGAGAAAAACGCGGAAAUGUUAAAAUAGUACCGGUGUAGUACUGGGGGCGACAUCUAACAAGGGGUAGUACGACCAAAAUUACAGUUUCCUCACGGGGUUCUUCCCUAUAUUUUCUGUGUUAUUUAAACAAACAAAAUUUGUUGUUACACAAAAUUCAUUUCAUUGUGUUCCAAAAACAACUUCAGACCUGACAACAACCAAUUUUGGAGUUUAAUUUCUCUUUCAGGAUAUUUGGGGAAAUUCCAUAGCGUUCUUGUAUUGUAUUCAGUUCAGAUCGACGAUUACCAAAUUUAAUGUUUAAUUAUAAUGAAAUUGUUAAUCGGAAAACACCCCAGCUGUUAAUUAAUAAUAAUAUUUAGAAAGUUAAACAAGGUUUGAUCAAAUGCCAAGACAUCAUAAGAGUCAAAUUUGCAAAAUUUCGCAUAUGUGGAAACUACUUAACAAGGGUAGUGGGGUAAGCGAGUUAGUGUAGCUUACGCAAGAUUAGCCCUUGACUUUGGGAGGAAUUGGAUUUCUGACGGUCUUUCGAGGUAGUCGAUUGUCGUGUUGUCCUUUAAAACUUUUAUAAAUUUAAAACAUCUUCGUUUGCCUUUUUUAGUGCGUCUAAAUUGUACUAAGCGCAUUUAAUUGUAAUUUUAAAUUAAAUUAAUUUAAAUUCUUGAAUUAAGUGAUAGCGUUAGUGAUUAGUGAGUAAGUUAAAAACGAGACAAGUUUAGUGUUCGUUCGAUUAGGUAGUGCUGCGAACUACAACACCUUGGGAAGCAGCUAACAUUCUGCGUUAGGAGGAUUAAAAUUUCUAGCUAAAUGCCUUUGGUCUUCAACUAUUGCACGAACCGUUUGAGAUUUACGCAGGCAACAUGUUUUUGAUCGACUUACCAAUUUUUAUAUCGAUUUGCGGCAAUGCAUCAACUUACGUGUUACUCUUAUGGCAAACGGACUCUAAAGUCGACAUAAACUAUUCAAUGAAGAAAGUUUUCGGUGUAUUUUAAUAAAGAAACCAACAAAAUGUA